AUUGAACGCUGGCGGCAGGCCUAACACAUGCAAGUCGAACGGUAACAGGAAGAAGCUUGCUUCUUUGCUGACGAGUGGCGGACGGGUGAGUAAUGUCUGGGAAACUGCCUGAUGGAGGGGGAUAACUACUGGAAACGGUAGCUAAUACCGCAUAACGUCGCAAGACCAAAAAGGGGGACCUUCGGGCCUCUUGCCAUCGGAUGUGCCCAGAUGGGAUUAGCUAGUAGGUGGGGUAACGGCUCACCUAGGCGACGAUCCCUAGCUGGUCUGAGAGGAUGACCAGACACACUGGAACUGAGACACGGUCCAGACUCCUACGGGAGGCAGCAGUGGGGAAUAUUGCACAAUGGGCGCAAGCCUGAUGCAGCCAUGCCGCGUGUAUGAAGAAGGCCUUCGGGUUGUAAAGUACUUUCAGCGGGGAGGAAGGGAGUAAAGUUAAUACCUUUGCUCAUUGACGUUACCCGCAGAAGAAGCACCGGCUAACUCCGUG
rnacentral:rRNA from 1 species